GUCCCAUGUUUCCCAACAUAAAAUAUGCUGAAACUUUUCCAAGUUCUCUUACUGUACCUGAGGCUUUUCCUCAUUUAUGUAUUUUUAGAUGGAAUUGUGACAUUAUCCUGUAUUCGGGCAAUAUCUAAAAACUUUAAGGAGCCUCGCAUCUGUCCUUUCAGUUUGUCUUCACGGAAGCCCUCCCAGGAACUUGAGCCAGAUACUAAAAAGCCUCGGGAGCCUGUACCUGGAGGAACACUGAUGACCAGGAUACAUAUUCCAUUUGCUACCAUCACAGAGCUGUGUUCUAAAGGGGGAAGACAGAGAAAACCAAAUGCACGAGACAAAUGGUAAUUGUGACUGCAAUACAGGCCAAGAGGGGAACCAAUCACAGGGCCAAGAAAGAAAAUGCAAGAGAACACAUGCCUGUCCAUGUGAAUACACAAAUAUGUGUGUGUACAUAUACAUAUUUAUGUGACUUUUAAAACUUGAGACAAAACCGGACAGAAACAGUGACAGCUGUGCAUGGUGUGCAGAGAAGGGUGCGCCAGGUUACUUCUGAAACAUCCAGGUUGAUGAAGCUAAUUUAUUGUUUUGGCAAGGGCUUACUGUUCCUGACAAUCCUCCAUAUGAUAAGGGGGCCUUUAGAAUCGAAAUCAACUUUCCAGCAGAGUACCCAUUCAUACCACUGAAGAUCACCUUUAAAACGAAGUUCUGUCACCCAAACACUAAUGAAGAAGGGCAAGUUUGCCUGCUGGUAAUUAGUGCUGAGUACUCAGAGCCAGCAACCAAGACCGACCAGGAAAUCCAGUCCCUCACAGCACCCCCAGCCCCAGCACCCACUCCGGGCUGACCAGCUGGAGAAUACUCAGUUCUGUAAGAAUGCUGAAGAGUUUACAGAGAAAUAUGGGGAAAAGCAACCUGUGGACUGAAAUGUGCCACAAAUGAUUCCAGCAAGUGUGAGCAGGGACCGAGCAGUGCACUCAGA
ensembl:lncRNA